rnacentral:lncRNA from 1 species
CAGCCAGGCUCAUCCACGUCUGGAUAUUCGGAGUGUAAAGUUUAUCCUCCCGUCUUGGAAAGCUGACCCAUAUGGGUGUCAAGGAAUUGGUUUACCCUCUCGAACUGGAAAGCAAUUAGUUUACCUUAUCGCACUGGAGAGCAUGGUUGGUCCCUCCGGGGCGCAAUUCCUGCGAUGAGUCCCUAAGUAAGGCGCAGUCUUCUUUUAAAGUGCAGAAGUGAUCAGUUGUUGUAAUUAUGCAGCCGAGCCAAUUUGUGAUU